UCAGCUCACUCCUCUGCCCUGGAACCAAAAUCAGGGACUCUGCUCUCCUGUCAGUGACCACAGUGGGCAGGACCCCUGCAUCCCUUCUGCAGCUGUGCUCCUUGCCUGCAGCCACGACCUGGACCUUUUCUGAUCAGCAUACCUGAGCCCUGCAUCCAGCAACAGCUUGUACUGCAAUCUGCCCCUGAUCAGCCACCUGACCCCUACAAGGUCCAUGGGGUGAAAGUUUCUGAAGCUGAAGCUGUCCCCUACACAGCUGCCUCCAUGGUUUGUUGUUAGUUGAUUUGGCAUUAUCUCCCUGGAGGUAUUUGCACUUUAAUAGGGACAGACCACCACACCUGGAGCCUAGGAUGGAUGGGGAGCCAGUCUCAAAGCCAGUUUGGCUCAGUGUCUAGUGUCCAUGCCCCUGGGACAGUCACUUCACUUCUGUGCUCUGAGCAUCUCACUGGAAUGGUACAAGCCUGACCUUUCACAACCCUCCUUCUGGAGUACUUCCUCAUGUCACAUCACCCAAUGCACCACUGGGGUCUAAAAUUCCACAUAUCUUUCAUCCUUCCACACACAGUCCCAAGCACAUAGCAAAGAUUUAUAAGGUCAAGCAAUAAGUGGGAUGGGGGGGAACCACCCUAGUCUUGCUACUGAAAGAUUUGGCCCCACAUAGGCAAUGGACUGGACUUGGGUGGGGGGUUUUAACCUGUGGUUCCUGUAUACAUUUCAAGGGGUUAAUCUAUAAAAUUAGCUAGGAAAAAAUUACAUCUUUAUUGUUCCUAACUUCAGACUGAAAUAUGACAUUUCCUUCAGUUACUUAAAAGUAUUCUUCUUAGGAGUCCAGAGGCUCCCCUAGAUGGCCAAGGGGCCAUGGCAGCAAAAAAAGUUAAGAAUCCCUACUACACUGAGCCUUGAUGAUACAAAGUUGAAACAAGACAUAGUCCCUGCCCUUGAAGUAUUUCCAGUCUCAUGGAGGAAGGACAUAGAAAACUUGUACACGAGUAACUGUGAUAAAAGUGAGGAUAUGUUCAGUGUAAAGAAAAGGUCCAGGUAAACUGCUAUGAAAAAUUUUAGGAGGAACACAUGACUUUUCUGGGGUUUAAAGCAAAAAGAGGAAAGGGAACCAUCAUGGAGAGGGCAGAGGACACACACCAGGCAGCUAGUGUCAAUAAUUAAAUAUUAAGGGUCUUAUUCUUUUGUUUUCUGUCUUUGUAAUUCCUUCAUCCAGCCCAGAGCUUAAUACACAGUAAGCCCUUCAUAAAUGCUAGUUCUAUGGGUCAGUCACUCGGCAGGUAUUAACUAAGGGUUUAACUAUGUGCCAGGCACUGCUGGGGACAUAAAAAAAAGCAAAUGGACAGCUCCUUUCCUCAGGGA